CUCUGAGUCCUGCAUUCAGUCUUCUUGACUGUUUCCUUUUCUGCUCCUCCUUAUUACAUUGGUUACAUUGAUGACUCAGCAGGGGAGUCGGCUCAUCUGAAUGCAGCCAGCCAGAGACCUAAGGGGCAUUUGCCUGGCGAUUAACACCACCACCAGCAGUCCCUGAGGCACCUCUAUGGCAUGGACACAAAUGAGGCUGAGGUCACACCAAAACUGAGAGACCGACCAUCGGCUUCACAGGCUCAAAAGGGCAUCUACUUGACUACAGACAGCCUGCAACAGAGGGAGCAGCAGAGCUGUGGAGGGAGCUGAAUAGUCCCACGCCAAUCAGCAGAGCUAGGGCCAGUGCUCUCAGGAGAGUCCCUUGCUGCUGCUGCUGACCCCAGCCUGGAGGGAACAGGAAUUUGUGUAGAUGGGGAGGUCCUCAUGUGGUGCUUUGCCUAGAAUCCUGGAUUAUUUUGGGUAAUGAUGAGAGCUGGGUGAAAUUUUUCAACCAAAUUUUUUUUGGCAAAAAAUGCAGAUACAGCAACACCAAUACAUUUAACACAUUUGUAUUGAUUUUGCCAAAUUGUUAAGGUCAAAGAAAACCCUCGACAUUUCCUUUAAAGACAUUCAAAAUGUUAACGGCUCGAAAAAGUUUUGUUUCAGGUUGAAUGAAAUGUUUUGUUUAACUUCAAAUGAAUUUUUUUUGACUUUUCAAUGUGGUAAAACAUUUCAUUUUCAGUUUGACCCAAAACAAUUAAAACAUUUUUUUUUAAUUGCCAGCAAACCAAACAAUCCAUUAUAGGUCCAACUCUAAUAACUAUACCCACCUCAAAAAGAGAGUGCAAGGCUCUGAUGGAGGAGCAGGGGAUAAAUCCCACCUAGGUUAAUCCGGAGGUUUGCAGGAGCCUGUACCCAAUCAGACCAGAGGUGGUACCUGUGAUAGGCAUAAAUGUUCAUCAAACUCUGCUGUGGAGGAGCUUGGUAAAUGGAGGAGUACAGGGCAGUGGGAAGAAAGGCCAGGGGGGUGAUGCAGGCAAGAGGAAGCUGGAA